CGCCCCCUAUACGUCAUCAUUGAGUAAACUUUGACCCGGAACCUCACAGUCAACAGACACUUCCUGGGAGGGAGGGUCUGCUGCUGAUUGGGUGGAAUGUGUCUGCUGGCUGUGAGGUUCCGGGUCAAAGUUUACUCAAUGAUGACGUAUAGGGGGCG
rnacentral:miRNA from 1 species